AUCUAUCCCAAAAUUGGUUUGGAAGCAAGCACACUAGUCUUAGAUAAGAGAUCCAAAACAUAUUUUCUCUAUGAGAGACUAAUCCCUUUGUUACUCCAUAGUACUUCAAUACCAAGAAAAUACCUGAGGACACCCAACGACAUACAAGAUUGAU